AACGAACGCUGGCGGCAUGCCUAACACAUGCAAGUCGAACGAACCCUUCGGGGUUAGUGGCGCACGGGUGCGUAACGCGUGGGAAUCUGCCCUUUGCUUCGGAAUAACUCAGGGAAACUUGUGCUAAUACCGGAUGAUGUCUUCGGACCAAAGAUUUAUCGGCAAAGGAUGAGCCCGCGUAGGAUUAGGUAGUUGGUGGGGUAAAGGCCUACCAAGCCGACGAUCCUUAGCUGGUCUGAGAGGAUGAUCAGCCACACUGGGACUGAGACACGGCACAGACUCCUACGGGAGGCAGCAGUGGGGAAUAUUGGACAAUGGGCGAAAGCCUGAUCCAGCAAUGCCGCGUGAGUGAUGAAGGCCUUAGGGUCGUAAAGCUCUUUUACCAGGGAUGAUAAUGACAGUACCUGGAGAAUAAGCUCCGGCUAACUCCGUGCCAGCCGCCGCCGUAACAC
rnacentral:rRNA from 1 species